UGAGGUGGCUGCAGCGGGGAGGCCACACCCGUUCCCAUCCCGAACACGGCCGUUAAGCUCCCCAGCGCCAAUGGUACUGCCAACGCGGAAGAGUAGGUCGCUGCCUCAU
rnacentral:rRNA from 1 species